AUUGCUUCUCAGCCUUUUGGCUAAGAUCAAGUGUACUAUCUGUUCUUAUUGGUUUAAUAUCUGUUAGUCCUCUAUCAAGGAGAAUACAUUAAAUAGAUUUUUGGAGCAGGGAGAUGGAAUAGGGCCUGCUCCAUCCACUCCACACAUCCACCUGCUAUUGCAGUACUUCCAGGAAGGUGCACACACU
rnacentral:snRNA from 1 species